rnacentral:rRNA from 1 species
AACGACAGGUGCUGCAUGGCUGUCGUCAGCUCCGUGUCGUGAGAUGUUGGGUUAAGUCCCGCAACGAGCGCAACCCUUGUCAUUAGUUGCUACAUUCAGUUGGGCACUCUAAUGAGACUGCCGGUGACAAACCGGAGGAAGGUGGGGAUGACGUCAAGUCCUCAUGGCCCUUAUAGGUGGGGCUACACACGUCAUACAAUGGAUGGUACAAAGGGUCGCCAACCCGCGAGGGGGAGCCAAUCCCAUAAAGCCAUUCGUAGUCCGGAUCGCAGUCUGCAACUCGACUGCGUGAAGUCGGAAUCGCUAGUAAUCGUGGAUCAGAAUGUCACGGUGAAUACGUUCCCGGGUCUU